rnacentral:rRNA from 1 species
AACGAACGCUGGCGGCAGGCCUAAAACAUGCAAGUCGAGCGAACCUUCGGGUUAGUGGCGCACGGGUGCGUAACGCGUGGGAAUAUACCUCUGGGUGCGGAACAACGUUUGGAAACGAACGCUAAUACCGCAUAAUAUCUACGGAUCAAAGAUUUAUCGCCCAGAGAUUAGCCCGCGUCUGAUUAGCUAGUUGGUGAGGUAAUGGCUCACCAAGGCGACGAUCAGUAGCUGGUCUGAGAGGAUGAUCAGCCACACUGGAACUGAGACACGGUCCAGACUCCUACGGGAGGCAGCAGUUAGGAAUAUUGGACAAUGGGGGAAACCCUGAUCCAGCCAUGCCGCGUGUGUGAAGAAGGCCUUAGGGUUGUAAAGCACUUUCAGCCGUGAAGAUAAUGACAGUAGCGGAAGAAGAAGCUCCGGCUAAAUUCGUGCCAGCAGCCGCCGUAA